rnacentral:rRNA from 1 species
GCCUGCGGUAUUAACCGCGAUGGUUUCUUUCCGGCCUGAACAGUUUUACAACCCCAAGGGCUUCUUUCUUUACGCCGCAUUGCUGGAUCAAGGUUGCCCCCAUUGUCCAAAAUUCCCCACUGCUGCCUCCCGUAAG